UACAGAGGGUGCAAGCGUUAAUCGGAAUUACUGGGCGUAAAGCGCGCGUAGGUGGUUAGUUAAGUUGGAUGUGAAAUCCCCGGGCUCAACCUGGGAACUGCAUUCAAAACUGACUGACUAGAGUAUGGUAGAGGGUGGUGGAAUUUCCUGUGUAGCGGUGAAAUGCGUAGAUAUAGGAAGGAACACCAGUGGCGAAGGCGACCACCUGGACUGAUACUGACACUGAGGUGCGAAAGCGUGGGGGGAGCAAACAGGAUUAGAUACCCUGGUAGUCCACGCCGUAAACGAUGUCAACUAGCCGUUGGGAGCCUUGAGCUCUUAGUGGCGCAGCUAACGCAUUAAGUGACCGCCUGGGGAGUACGGCCGCAAGGUUAAAACUCA
rnacentral:rRNA from 1 species